rnacentral:ncRNA from 2 species
AUGAUCCGACUAGAGACGGGUGCCCCUGCUUCAAGGGGAUAAUCGGGAAGUAUGGUGCGGCUUUUCAGCCAAUCCCAUCGCUGCCCCCGCAACGGUAAUAGAAGAGUAGCCUGCGACAGCCACCGGCAUAUGCCGGGAAGGUGCAGGCGAUGGCGCGAUCUGAAUGCGUCCUCUUCGAGCCCGGAGACCGGCCUGUCAUUUCGUUCCAUC